UUUAAUAUGGCAGAUUAGUGCAUUGGAUUUAAGCCCCAAGUAUAAAGAUUAUUUUCUUUUAUUAAAA
rnacentral:tRNA from 1 species